rnacentral:rRNA from 1 species
GACGAACGCUGGCGGCGUGCUUAACACAUGCAAGUCGAACGGAAAGGCCCUGCUUUUGUGGGGUGCUCGAGUGGCGAACGGGUGAGUAACACGUGAGUAACCUGCCCUUGACUUUGGGAUAACUUCAGGAAACUGGGGCUAAUACCGGAUAGGAGCUCCUGCUGCAUGGUGGGGGUUGGAAAGUUUCGGCGGUUGGGGAUGGACUCGCGGCUUAUCAGCUUGUUGGUGGGGUAGUGGCUUACCAAGGCUUUGACGGGUCGCCGGCCUGAGAGGGUGACCGGCCACAUUGGGACUGAGAUACGGCCCAGACUCCUACGGGAGGCAGCAGUGGGGAAUAUUGCACAAUGGGCGGAAGCCUGAUGCAGCAACGCCGCGUGCGGGAUGACGGCCUUCGGGUUGUAAACCGCUUUCGCCUGUGACGAAGCGUGAGUGACGGUAAUGGGUAAAGAAGCACCGGCUAACUACGUGCCAACAGCCGCGGUGAUACGUAGGGUGCGAGCGUUGUCCGGAUUUAUUGGGCGUAAAGGGCUCGUAGGUGGUUGAUCGCGUCGGAAGUGUAAUCUUGGGGCUUAACCCUGAGCGUGCUUUCGAUACGGGUUGACUUGAGGAAGGUAGGGGAGAAUGGAAUUCCUGGUGGAGCGGUGGAAUGCGCAGAUAUCAGGAGGAACACCAGUGGCGAAGGCGGUUCUCUGGGCCUUUCCUGACGCUGAGGAGCGAAAGCGUGGGGAGCGAACAGGCUUAGAUACCCUGGUAGUCCACGCUGUAAACGGUGGGUACUAGGUGUGGGGUCCAUUCCACGGGUUCCGUGCCGUAGCUAACGCUUUAAGUACCCCGCCUGGGGAGUACGGCCGCAAGGCUAAAACUCAAAGGAAUUGACGGGGCCCCGCACAAGCGGCGGAGCAUGCGGAUUAAUUCGAUGCAACGCGUAGAACCUUACCUGGGUUUGACAUGGAUCGGGAGCGCUCAGAGAUGGGUGUGCCUCUUUUGGGGUCGGUUCACAGGUGGUGCAUGGCUGUCGUCAGCUCGUGUCGUGAGAUGUUGGGUUAAGUCCCGCAACGAGCGCAACCCUUGUUCACUGUUGCCAGCACGUUAUGGUGGGGACUCAGUGGAGACCGCCGGGGUCAACUCGGAGGAAGGUGGGGAUGACGUCAAGUCAUCAUGCCCCUUAUGUCCAGGGCUUCACGCAUGCUACAAUGGCUGGUACAGAGAGUGGCGAGCCUGUGAGGGUGAGCGAAUCUCGGAAAGCCGGUCUCAGUUCGGAUUGGGGUCUGCAACUCGACCCCAUGAAGUCGGAGUCGCUAGUAAUCGCAGAUCAGCAAUGCUGCGGUGAAUACGUUCCCGGGCCU